AUACCUUUCUCGGCCUUUUGGCUAAGAUCAAGUGUAGUAUCUGUUCUUAUCAGUUUAAUAUCUGAUAUGUGGGUCAUUGGCCCACUCGAUAUUAAUCUUAUUUUUUAUGGGGAAAGACCCAUCACAAUAGCUUGCUAUUGGGGUCUUUAAGCGUCGCCUUGGCGUUGCACUACUGCCUUGGGCUGGCGCACCCCUC
rnacentral:snRNA from 1 species